rnacentral:guide_RNA from 1 species
AUACAAAGGCAUACAGUGUACGUCGGUAUCGGAUCUGUGUAAU